GUUUUAUUUGCAAGCUGUUCCUGAGCCUGAGCUAAGCCAACUUGAUCCUAAAAAUCAGUUAUUCUACUUUUUUACUGUAUUCUUAAAGUUGGACAAACUUGGAGAAGAGAGAAGAAAGUAUACUGGAAAUGCUGUAGAAAAAAUAAUUAGAAAUGGAUUGAACUACCGACCUGUUUACCAGAGUAAAACUCUACCAGGAUUCCAACUUGGCCACCAUUGCCUUUUGAUAGGAUUGUACAAAAAUACAAAGCUCCUGUCAGUUGAACCAUUUGGAUAUAUAAUAAAAAUGGAGACAUACCAUCCUAACGAUUGCAAACUAACUUCUUCACUCGAUAUUACUACCUACUAACAAAUGAAUGGAAACCAAAUUGUUCAAGUAUGGCCAGAUGAUCCAAAAACGGAACCACUAUUGAGUAGGUAGUAAUGAUAAUUCAGAUCAGGAACCUAGCGAUAACUAAUUUCUUUACACUAAGCAUUUUUUCGUAUAAUAAUAAAAUUAUAUACAUAUUACAGUACUAUUAUUAUUAAUAUAUUAAACACACUUUUAUUUUUCAUUACUCACUUAUAUACAAAAUUGUUA